AGGUGUCGCAUGGUUCGCAGAUGGAUGCCCGGAAGCAGGGUGCAGGUAUCAAGAAUGUGCGAAGAAAGUCCCUCGUUUGUUCCGCACACUUUCCCGACGACAGCGAUGCUACGACGGAGAUGGCAAGAAUGUGCGGAUAUCCUGCGACACUCAAAGCAGAUGCAUUUCCAACGAUAAACUCAACGAAAUCUGCAAAAUCGGGGACGACGGCGGUCCCUUCCCCGCAGACGAUCGAGGUAAACCCCCUGGGUAUGUUGGCUAAGACUUGAUUAAUGCCACUUCUUUUCCCGUCUCAUUUUGUCCACCAAACUUAUAACGUUGUGCAUGAAUGCACAAAGGUGAGUUUUGUUGAUGUUAUUGACUAAAUACUUUUAAUGGAGGCUGUUUUAUCCCCGUCUUCCAGCAGCCUACCUCCGUUCCCGCGUUACGAGCUGUGGGUCUCAUUUCCCUGUGUUCCCCUCUGGCUUUCUGACUGCCCCCUUUUGGAUCUCGAGCUCCUGCCUGCACACGGACUUUGACGCCUCUCUAUUGUCCUCCCCAAGACUACCUGCCUGCUCACGGACCUCCGAGCCAGCCCUGCCGCCCUUUGGACUUCCGCCUCUCCCUCAACACUACAGGUGUAGGGGGUGUGUUGCUCCUACCUGGAAACGACCAGCGGCAAUAUGAGCAUUUUCAACAUCCUCAUGAGCAGCUCUCCGGGAAACUGGAAGUACUUCACCUCCUGCA